UGCGUAGGUGGCGCCGUAAGUCGGGUGUGAAAUUUCGGAGCUUAACUCCGAAACUGCAUUCGAUACUGCGGUGCUUGAGGACUGGAGAGGAGACUGGAAUUUAUGGUGUAGCAGUGAAAUGCGUAGAGAUCAUAAGGAAGACCAGUGGCGAAGGCGGGUCUCUGGACAGUUCCUGACACUGAGGACAAGGCCAGGGGGAGCGAAACG
rnacentral:rRNA from 1 species